rnacentral:misc_RNA from 1 species
UCCAGAACAUGGGCUCCACUAAU